ACACGCUGGCGGCGUGCCUAACACAUGCAAGUCGAACGAGAAAGUGGAGCAAUCCAUGAGUAAAGUGGCGACCGGGUGAGUAACACGUGACUAACCUACCCUCGAGUGUGGAAUAACAUCGGGAAACCGAUGCUAAUACCGCAUAAUAUCGCGAGAUCAAAGCAGCAAUGCGCUUGAGGAGGGGGUCGCGGCUGAUUAGCUAGUUGGCGGGGUAACGGCCCACCAAGGCGAAGAUCGGUAGCCGGCCUGAGAGGGCGCACGGCCACACUGGAACUGAAACACGGUCCAGACUCCUACGGGAGGCAGCAGUGGGGAAUUUUGCGCAAUGGGGGAAACCCUGACGCAGCAACGCCGCGUGGAGGAUGAAGCCCCUUGGGGCGUAAACUCCUUUCGACCAAGACGAUAAUGACGGUACUGGUGGAAGAAGCACCGGCUAACUCUGUGCCAGCAGCCGCGGUAAUACAGAGGGUGCAAGCGUUGUUCGGAAUUAUUGGGCGUAAAGGGCGCGUAGGCGGCGCGACAAGUCACCUGUGAAAUCUCCAAGCUUAACUUGGAGCCUGCAGGCGAAACUGUCGUGCUGGAGUAUGGGA
rnacentral:rRNA from 1 species